rnacentral:misc_RNA from 1 species
AUUCUUCUUCUUCUUCUUCUUCUACUUCUUCCUCUUCUUCAUCCUCCAGUUAUGCUAACGGCUCUGCUUCUACAGUUUCCAGCAGCGGCUUCUUUAGGGCCAGUGCGCCAAGUUCCGUUAACAAAUCAUCUAUUACUGCAUCCUCAAACUUGUACUAUUCUGAUCAAAACCCUGUGAGGACUGCGGAAUUGUUUUCCCAAGAUGAUAGUUAUGUGAAGAAGGC